rnacentral:lncRNA from 12 species
CUGAACAGCCCCCUGAAUAACGGGGCACGUGGGAGAGCCGCCCACCUACAGGUCAUUCUCCGGAGCCGAGGAGCAGAGGCCGUCCCCGUCGGCACGUGUCCCCUCCCAAGCACCCGCUCUGAGCGCGGGGUUCCACGACUGGAGAGUGGAGGCCGGCGGGGACGCAGCACAGCCUCACGGGAUCCCCCAGGGGCCGAGGUCUACACUGCCAGUGACGAGAACACAACGGAUGCUCGGUCUAUGAACUAGAGGAAGGCAGGUGGUGAAGGACACGCCACCCUCAGGCCAUCGCAGCUCGGAGGGGGGACCGCCGCCUCCCACUUGAUGUCUCCAAACCCAAGGGGACAGCCUUCUCGCGCUGGCAAGUCCUCUGCUGGGUGUCCGGCCAUGUGGAUGGGGCACAGGCCCCGCCACCCCUCGUUAGGCUUCAGAUCGGCGUCCACCGUGUUGUUGUGGAUUAAACGGGCUCCACGCUCUCGCAUCGGGUCGUGUCCUUGACUCCCUCCCUUCGCUCGGCCUGCGAGACACCGUCUCAUCCAACAUGGCCAGAGCAGGGCCCUGGGGUCAUGUGGAUCAAUGAACAGUCAUCAGAUGAAUGAGUGGGCCCGUUGCAAGCUGCAAAUAUGACUCUGGCAGCAUCAAGUGGUGAUAACUACACUCAUCUGUGUUCUUUGAGAAAGACCCAUAAAAGAACAUGUCCACCCACACUGCAGUGCCAGCCGUCCAUAGCUGGCAGGGUGCAGGAGGAACUGUCGCCACAGCUGUGUGGGUGCACUCUUAUGCCUCCUAGCCAAGGGCCUGGUGCUGGGCCUGUUGCAUCUUUGCUGCUUCUCAGAGUGAGGGACUACAGAAACUGUCCCUGCACCUGUCACCGAGGCAUGGAGGGAGUCGGCGCCAUCCCACCCCUGCCAACAGAGAGACAUGAGGCUCACCAGUCACCCACAGGGAGCAGUGACGGUGCCAAGGCCGCACUCACCUGCCAGGAAGUGGGAAGAGCCCCAUCUGCUCCUGGAACGUGGGUCCCAGGUAUCUCCCUCGAAAUCAUGCCGUUCUCUUGAGCCUCCAAUCGACCAGGAGGGGAGCUCACUUUGUUGGACCAGGUUAAUCCUUCCGUCAAAUUUCAAGACUUAGGGAGAUAAGACAUUGCCCCAACACAUCAUCUUCAUCUCGGUUUGACUGGAAUAUGUUCAUUGGGAUCACACAUUGUACAUUUUUAAUUUUUCAAUGAAGAUACAAUCGGUUUUUCAACCCCGUCAAUCGUACUGAUUAUAGGUUCUGCCUCUAGGGGCUUUUGAGGCCAAGUGUAUCAAUAGAGUCCGACCUGAAGGCCCUAAGCUACAAGAACCCGACGUUUCUCAGGCCCGUCCCUCCACUGACCCUUCACUGCUGCUCGGGUUCAGUCACAGUGGCUGCACCUGCGCUCGGCCGCUUCUAAUGCAGUCUGUACGGUGACCUUAAUGUAACGCUGGUGCCCCGUGUCCCCGGCCUGCCCCACGGGUGCUCUCCCUCCGUCGCGCUGCAUCUGCUUCUUGACUGGCCAGAGGGGAUCUGGGUAUUUCUGUGAGAUAAAUGACCAAAUUUGGUAGGUCUCACUUUGUCAAAAUUAAAAAGGCAUUAUUUAGUGAAAGGGAAUAUAAGGGAAGGGAGAAGAAACACGUAGGAAAUAUCAGAAAGGGAGACAGAACAUAAAGACUCCUAACUCUGGGAAACGAACUAGGGGUGGUGGAAGGGGA